GGUUCGCCGCCCGUCGGUGUCAACUGGCAUGUCCUGUGGAACGUCCUGCCGGUGGCGGACCGGGCUUUCGGCUUGCGUAAGGGCUUACGCUCGAAGCAGGCCGAACAGUACCGGCCGCCGGUCCAAUCCCGCCACGGUGCUCUUCACCGAGUGUCGAGGUGGGCCGGCACGUUUACUUUGAACAAAUUAGAGUGCUUAAAGCAGGCUGGUGUCCGCCUGAAUACUGUGUGCAUGGAAUAAUAGAAUAGGACCUCGGUUCUAUUUUGUUGGUUUUCGGAACCCGAGGUAAUGAUUAAUAGGGACAGGCGGGGGCAUUCGUAUUGCGACGUUAGAGGUGAAAUUCUUGGAUCGUCGCAAGACGAACCUAAGCGAAAGCAUUUGCCAAGUAUGUUCUCGUUAAUCAAGAACGAAAGUUAGAGGUUCGAAGGCGAUCAGAUACCGCCCUAGUUCUAACCAUAAACGAUGCCAGCCAGCGAUCCGCCGAAGUUCCUCCGAUGACUCGGCGGGCAGCUUCCGGGAAACCAAAGCUUUUGGGUUCCGGGGGAAGUAUGGUUGCAAAGCUGAAACUUAAAGGAAUUGACGGAAGGGCACCACCAGGAGUGGAGCCUGCGGCUUAAUUUGACUCAACACGGGAAACCUCACCAGGCCCGGACACCGGAAGGAUUGACAGAUUGAGAGCUCUUUCUUGAUUCGGUGGGUGGUGG
rnacentral:rRNA from 1 species